rnacentral:rRNA from 1 species
GCCACUGCCAUAUCGCCCUGUAGCUCAAGAUUGGUUGCCCACUGAAGCUAAGCAGGGUUUAGCCUGGUCAGUAUCUGGAUGGGAGACCUCCUGGGAAAACUAGGUUGCUGCUGGAA